AUGAAGGACGGUACUAACACCGAUAUGCUUCGGGGAGCUGUAAGUAAGCUUUGAUCCGGAGAUUUCCGAAUGGGGAAACCCCCUAUCCGUAAUGGGAUAGGAUCUUUACCUGAAUACAUAGGGUAUAGAAGGCAGACCCGGGGAACUGAAACAUCUAAGUACCCGGAGGAAGAGAAAGCAAAUGCGAUUCCCUGAGUAGCGGCGAGCGAAACGGGAUUAGCCCAAACCAAGAGGCUUGCCUCUUGGGGUUGUAGGACACUCUAC
rnacentral:rRNA from 1 species